rnacentral:rRNA from 1 species
UACGUAGGGUCCGAGCGUUAAUCGGAAUUACUGGGCGUAAAGCGUGCGCAGGCGGUUUUGUAAGCCAGAUGUGAAAGCCCCGGGCUCAACCUGGGAAUGGCAUUGGAAACUGGCGAGCUAGAGUGUGGCAGAGGGGGGUGGAAUUCCGCGUGUAGCAGUGAAAUGCGUAGAGAUGCGGAGGAACACCGAUGGCGAAGGCAGCCCCCUGGGCUGACACUGACGCUCAGGCACGAAAGCGUGGGGAGCAAACAGG